UGAGCUUUAGAUGUAGGAAUUUGUAGAC
rnacentral:piRNA from 1 species